AAACUACCGGAGCGAUUCAAAACACGGUUUUUCGCAAAACGUUCCGCGUUGUCAGGACAGGAUUUAUAGCUUUUGAUGAAAUCCACCCCUUAUUGAAAACAACCCUUCAAAAUUCGGGUUUAACGUAUUUUUGAUACGAAAAUGCAAUUAUGUUUGUUGAUUUAUGGAUUAUCAUGGUAAACAAGAAUGAGAAAAAACUGUUAUUAAUUAUUGUAGUGCAAUCUCUGUGCUGUGCUAUGGUAAUAAUAGUGAAAUUACGUAAAACAUCAUCGACGUAUAUUUCAAUCCAUGUAUUGUUUUUCCAUUGUUACACU